GACGAACGCUGGCGGCGUGCCUAAUACAUGCAAGUUGAGCGCUGAAGGUUGGUACUUGUACCAACUGGAUGAGCAGCGAACGGGUGAGUAACGCGUGGGGAAUCUGCCUUUGAGCGGGGGACAACAUUUGGAAACGAAUGCUAAUACCGCAUAAAACCUUUAAACACAAGUUUUAAGUUUGAAAGAUGCAAUUGCAUCACUCAAAGAUGAUCCCGCGUUGUAUUAGCUAGUUGGUGAGGUAAAGGCUCACCAAGGCGAUGAUACAUAGCCGACCUGAGAGGGUGAUCGGCCACAUUGGGACUGAGACACGGCCCAAACUCCUACGGGAGGCAGCAGUAGGGAAUCUUCGGAAAUGGACGAAAGUCUGACCGAGCAACGCCGCGUGAGUGAAGAAGGUUUUCGGAUCGUAAAACUCUGUUGGUAGAGAAGAACGUUGGUGAGAGUGGAAAGCUCAUCAAGUGACGGUAACUACCCAGAAAGGGACGGCUAACUACGUG
rnacentral:rRNA from 1 species